rnacentral:rRNA from 1 species
UGGGCGUAAAGCGUGCGUAGGCGGCCAAGCAAGUUGGAAGUGAAUCCCAGGGCUCAACCCUGGAACUGCUUUCAAAACUGUUUGGCUAGAAUCUCGGAGAGGAUAGCGGAAUUUCCAGUGUAGAGGUGAAAUUCGUAGAUAUUGGAAGGAACACCAGUGGCGUAGGCGGCUAUCUGGACGAGUAUUGACGCUAAGGCACGAAAGUGUGGGGAGCAAACAGGAUUAGAUACCCUGGUAGUCCACACCGUAAACGAUGUGUGCUAGUUGUCGGGCAGUAUACUGUUCGGUGACGCAGCUAACGCAUUAAGCACACCGCCUGGGGAGUACGGCCGCAAGGUUAAAACUCAAAGGAAUUGACGGGGACCCGCACAAGCGGUGGAGCAUGUGGUUUAAUUUGACGCAACGCGGAGAACCUUACCAGCCCUUGACAUCCUGGUCGCGGGGAGUGGAGACACACCCUUUCAGUUCGGCUGGACCAGUGACAGGUGGUGCACGGCUGUCGUCAGCUCGUGUCGUGAGAUGUUAGGUUAAGUCCUGCAACGAGCGCAACCCCUAUUGUCUGUUGCCAUCAUUAAGUUGGGCACUCUGACAAGACUGCCGGUGAUAAGCCGGAGGAAGGCGGGGAUGACGUCAAGUCAUCAUGCCCCUUAUGGGCUGGGCUACACACGUGCUACAAUGGCGGUGACAAUGGGCAGCGACUUCGCAAGGAGGAGCAAAUCCCUAAAAACCGUCUCAGUUCGGAUUGUACUCUGCAACUCGAGUGCAUGAAGUUGGAAUCGCUAGUAAUCGUGGAUCAGCAUGCCACGGUGAAUACGUUCCCGGGUCUUGUACACACCGCCCGUCAAGUGAUGGGAAUUGGUUUCACCUGAAGCCGGUGCGCUAACCUUUGGGAAGCAGCCGACCACGGUGGGAUCAGUGACUGGCACUAAGUCGUAACAAGGUAACCGGCAUGCGGNNCCCG